AGGGCGCUGGCAGCCUCUGUUCCUCUGCCUUUUAUGAAAUGGACAAAGGCUGUGUCGUUAGCUGCCUGGCCAGGCAUCGCCACUGGGCACUGAUGGGUCAAAGACUGUAGAGAUUAAGCCACCAGUGUCUUCAGGAGGUCCCCAGAACAGGGGCCACACCUGGUGCCCUCUGCAUGACCUUGAGCAGCACUGUAGCCUCUGGACCUCCACUUCCUUUUCUAUGAAAUAAAGAAGUGUCUGUGAGGCUACCCCCAAGAAGUCUCACCAACAUGGCUGUCUAAACAAGACCUGAACAAUGGACAUGGUAAUCUGGAAGGUGGAAAAUUUGCAGGGCCUCAACCCAAAUCAAAGAAUCGCACAUAACUAGGGUAUCCUGGGAGCAGAAGUGUUCUUCAGAGAAGAAUCCUUCCAAAGGACUAUCUAAUCAAUACCAAGUGGUCAGCCCCAAGAUCAUGUACAUCCCGGUAACAUGAUAUGGACUGAGGAGAUUGUAGUCAUGUAUUUAGGAAUAUUUAUUAUAUGAAACCAAUAAAGGAAAAAAGAGGUCAUGAACUUGAGAGCAAAGGUUGCAUGGAAGGGGCUGGAGGGAAGAAAGA